rnacentral:lncRNA from 1 species
AUCGGUGUCGGGCAGCGACGGGAAAGCGGUGCGGCUGAAUGGCGCCGGGCCCAGGCCGAAGCGCGGCGGCCCGUGGUGCGGCGCGAAGAGGCCCAGCCAGUCCGCCGAGCGGUCGGCCGCAUCCAGCACUCCGCCGGAGAAGACGUGCGCGCCCGGCAUGAAGCCUUGGUGCGGGGAGCGCUGCAGCAGCAGCAGCCGGAAGCCCUCGGCCGGCGGCGGGCGCGACGGCGGGGUGGCGGUCUCCGGGCGCGACCAGCCAGCCGCCAGGACGAUGCUGGCCGCCCGCCGCCAGCGGCUGGGGCCCGGCCGCAGGGAGCUGCUCAUGGCGCGCAGCUUCCCGGAUCCGAUUCUGGCGCGGCCUGAGCUCCACGGCAGGUGGCCCGGCCCUGCAGGGACCCCAGCACCUCCGGGGGCCUCGCGGGAAUUGAGGACGAGCCUCUGGCGUUGGGUGAACCUGGGCGUUUGGUCGGCAACGGCGCCUGCCUGUGGGAGGGGCACCCGAGCAGGGACCGCCUCGAGUGCACUGGGGCCCAGCUAGGGCACUCUCGCGGGACAAUGGGUGUCACGGCAGCCAGCGACCGUUUGUCAUUCACAGCUGCCUGAAAGGAGGACCGCAGUAUUCCCACGCAGGAAGCUUGGACCAAAAGCAGGAAUGCUUAAGGGCGCAUAUGACUUGCCAUGGUAAAAAACAGGAUGCCAACCCAGGCCUGAUGACAUCCACCUCACUAAAAGCUAAGGACUAGGACUUUCUGCUUUAAACAAGGACCCACAUGUGGGUGUUUUCUGUGGGAGAGGGAGAGAGGACAUUCGAAGGGCAGAAGUCUGACCUUUGCAAGCACACGUGAACCACACCAAUGAGAAAUGAAUGGACGAGCCAGAUGCCAAUUUAUAAAUUUCCUACUGCACACCUUGAAUGUGAAAGGUACUCCCAGAGUAAUUUCUCUCGUGUUCUGGUUACCUUUUAUUGUCAGGGCGCCUGGGGACGGCCUUAGGUGUCUUAGGACAUUUGACGAGUUCCACUUUGAUGGGAGAUGUUUAAUCUGGGCCUCCACAUGGAGAUUUCUCUCCACCUUGUUAGUGUCUAGAAGACUUCCACCUCCAAUAGCAGGAUUAUGAUCUUUUGAAAAGCCUGUGUAAAUUUGAGUCUUUUCUUUUAUAACUCCUUAUCAGUCACCGACAGCUUUUCCCAUAAUUGCUAUUAUAAUUGGAUCACACAUUUGUUAUGUUUUUGGAUGAAAUACACUAUACCCCUGCCGACCCUCACA